GAUGAACGCUGGCGGCGUGCCUAAUACAUGCAAGUCGAGCGAACAGACGAGGAGCUUGCUCCUCUGACGUUAGCGGCGGACGGGUGAGUAACACGUGGAUAACCUACCUAUAAGACUGGGAUAACUUCGGGAAACCGGAGCUAAUACCGGAUAAUAUAUUGAACCGCAUGGUUCAAUAGUGAAAGACGGUUUUGCUGUCACUUAUAGAUGGAUCCGCGCCGCAUUAGCUAGUUGGUAAGGUAACGGCUUACCAAGGCAACGAUGCGUAGCCGACCUGAGAGGGUGAUCGGCCAGACUGGAACUGAGACACGGUCCAGACUCCUACGGGAGGCAGCAGUAGGGAAUCUUCCGCAAUGGGCGAAAGCCUGACGGAGCAACGCCGCGUGAGUGAUGAAGGUCUUCGGAUCUUAAAGCUCUGUUAUUAGGGAAGAACAAAUGUGUAAGUAACUAUGCACGUCUUGACGGUACCUAAUCAGAAAGCCACGGCUAACUACGUG
rnacentral:rRNA from 1 species